rnacentral:rRNA from 1 species
GGCGAACGCUGGCGGCAGGCCUAACACAUGCAAGUCGAACGAACUCUUCGGAGUUAGUGGCGGACGGGUGAGUAACACGUGGGAACGUGCCUUUUGGUUCGGAAUAACUCAGGGAAACUUGUGCUAAUACCGAAUGUGCCCUUCGGGGGAAAGAUUUAUCGCCAUUAGAGCGGCCCGCGUCUGAUUAGCUUGUUGGUGAGGUAACGGCUCACCAAGGCGACGAUCAGUAGCUGGUCUGAGAGGGGGACCAGCCACACUGGGACUGAGACACGGCCCAGACUCCUGCGGGUGGCAGCAGGAGGGAAUCUUCCGCAAGGGGCGAAAGCGUGACGGAGCAACGGCGCGUGAGUGAUGAAAGUCUUCGGAUCGGAAAACUCUGUUAGUAGGGAAGAAGAGAAGUGUAAGUAAAUGUGCACAUCUUGACGGUACCUAAUCAGAAAGCCACGGCUAACUACGUG